rnacentral:rRNA from 1 species
CAGUCGCCGCGGUAAUACGUAGGGUGCAAGCGUUAAUCGGAAUUACUGGGCGUAAAGCGUGCGCAGGCGGUUAUAUAAGACAGAUGUGAAAUCCCCGGGCUCAACCUGGGAACUGCAUUUGUGACUGUAUAGCUAGAGUACGGCAGAGGGGGAUGGAAUUCCGCGUGUAGCAGUGAAAUGCGUAGAUAUGCGGAGGAACACCGAUGGCGAAGGCAAUCCCCUGGGCCUGUACUGACGCUCAUGCACGAAAGCGUGGGGAGCAAAUGGGAUUAGAUACCCGCGUAGUCCCUGUCUCUUAUAC